GCGGACUCAGCUCUGUUCAAACGGCAGGGGGCAGCGCUCUCCGUUUGGGCGGAAAAGCUCAGGGGGAAACAGCAGCUCUUCGCGGAGCGAGAGCACGUCUUCGAGGCGACUUGCCUGGCUCUGGGCGGGCCUCACAGAUGCUGCGUUCUCCUUUUUUUUUUUUUUUUUUUUUUUUGCGUUUAUGCUGCGUUCUCCUACCUGCUGCCUCACCUGCACCGGAGCUUUCGCCACGGAGAGUGGGCGUCUCUCACCGAGCUUCAGCCUCUCACUCUCUCGCCCUGCGCUCCUCGCUCACACACCGCCAGCCGCUUAACUCACCGGCCUUUCCAACUCGCUGUGCCGCAGCAGCUCCACCUCCCACCUUGGCUCAACGGAGGCUCCCUCGCUCAGUGGCUCAGCUGUUCCUGCUAAGGAGAAGCGACGCUCACGCUGUCAUCGCGCUUUCCGUUUGGAGCAGUAGCAUCCGGUGGGUGGGUUGUUUCAGUCCACCUGCUGAGUUUGCCGACCUGGUCGUCAUAAGACUGUAGUGACUAUUGCACCGAAGUCUUCAAGAUAUGGUUUGAUGUGUCCAGCAGAAUCUGAUGUCCUCUGGGUACCAGCCAUUCUCAGGGUCUCGGGGGUGCUGGAGCCUAUCCCAGCUGUCUUAGGGCGAGAGGCAGGGUACACCCUGGACAGGUCGCCAGUCAGGUCUAACACAUAGACACUCACAUUCACACCUAUGGACAAUUUAGUUUCCAGUUAACCUAACCCCACUAACUGCAUGUCUUUGGACUGUGGGAGGAAACCGGAGUACUCAGAGAGAACCCACACAAACACGGAGAGAACAUGCAAACUCCACACAGAAAGACCUGGUGGUGUGUACAGUGUCCAUUUCUGUCUGUCUUUACGUUGGGUGAGUGCUGAGUAUUUGUAUAUGUGUGCAUGAGGGUGGGAAUGCACGUUUGUGUCUGUGUGUGCCUGUUGGUCUGUGUCUAUAUGUCAGGCCGGGUCUUAGACUCCGCCCCUCACCACACUCCCUGCCGGUGGCUGAUGCCCUCAGACGUCGGUGCGUUGGUGGUUCUCGGUGUCCGGGGCUGGGCGCUCAGGUAUCUACGGGCUCACUCCCGGUGGCUGCUUGGUGGGGCCUGGCGCCCGUGGGUCAGUCGUGCCCCUUCCAGGGGGCCCUGGGACCUCAGGCCUCUGGGCCUGGGGCUCGGUUCACUCUGGCACAGCUGGCUGCCGGCAGAGCCUGCGGGCACGUCACUGCAGCCCCCUCUGGC
ensembl:lncRNA